AACGCACAUUGCGCCCUGUGGUAUUCCGCAGGGCAUGCCUGUUCGAGCGUCAGUACAACACUCAAGCUCAGCUUGGUCUUGAGCCCAGCCGGUCACGGCGGGCUUUAAAGUCAGUGGCGGUGCCACCGGGCUCUAAGCGUAGUAAUACUCGUCGCUAUUGAGUCCCCGGUAGGUGUUGGCCAGCAACCCCAAACAUUCUAAGUUUGACCUCGGAUCAGGUAGGGAUACCCGCUGAACUUAA
rnacentral:misc_RNA from 1 species